rnacentral:rRNA from 1 species
GACGAACGCUGGCGGCGUGCCUAAUACAUGCAAGUCGAACGCACAGUUUAUACCGUAGCUUGCUACACCAUAGACUGUGAGUUGCGAACGGGUGAGUAACGCGUAGGUAACCUGCCUGGUAGCGGGGGAUAACUAUUGGAAACGAUAGCUAAUACCGCAUAAUAUUAAUUAUUGCAUGAUAAUUAAUUGAAAGGUGCAAUUGCACCACUACCAGAUGGACCUGCGUUGUAUUAGCUAGUAGGUGAGGUAACGGCUCACCUAGGCGACGAUACAUAGCCGACCUGAGAGGGUGAUAGGCCACACUGGGACUGUGACACGGCCCAGACUCCUACGGGGGGCAGCAGUAGGGAAUCUUCGGCAAUGGACGAAAGUCUGACCGAGCAACGCCGCGUGAGUGAAGAAGGUUUUCGGAUCGUAAAGCUCUGUUGUAAGAGAAGAACGGGUGUGAGAGUGUAAAGUUCACACUGUGACGGUAUCUUACCAGAAAGGGACGGCUAACUACGUG